rnacentral:sRNA from 1 species
AUCUUAACUUUUUCUGAUAUCUUGAAUGUAACAAUGUAACAAUGAAUUGGCAACUGCGCCAAAUUGAUAAGCAGGUUUUUUAGGCCUACUUAUUUGCUGAAGGGUGUGAGGUUCAGUUCAAUUCCCCUACAAACACUAACAUGUCGAUGCAGCUAUAGUGGGUGUCAAUCCAGUCCACUGUUAUUGCUAGCAAUCAAGAUGUGUACAUAAGCAACUAAGUCAAGCCAGAUUAUAAUGAUGGUGGGUUUCUAGUAACAAUCCUAGGUCAAGAUUCAAACACGAAAAUGAGAACUUUAAGAGCCCUACUCGAUCAUUGGGUCGUGUAGAACCAACAGGCAACAAAAUUAAGUAACUAAAAUGCAAUCAACAAAGGAUACAAAUAACAGGUAAAUAAAAGUGCAAUCAACAGGGGAUACAAAUAAAUCUAAUAGAAGUUCUAAGGAUGGAUUCAUUGAUAAGGGCAACUCUCGGGUUCAUCAGAUGGCUAACAGGUGAAAGGUAGAUACCCUUGACGAUAGAUUCAAAAACUGGGUCAAUCCACUGUCGUGACAAAGACCGCCAUAACACUACCACUUCCUAAUCUCAACUGUCGUUGAUGAAACAUAGAAGAGCAGGGUUUAAGAAACAAUCUACCAAAGCCAAUAAGCAGACAAGCCAAUGUCUUGGUCGAGUCUACAAAUAUCUGGAAUUCGUAGAUCAGACAUCCAUUUGAACGUCUUUUGGAUGCUAGACGUCUAUGAUCGAAUCUCCACAUUAGCCAGCAAAAACCGCAUAGGGGCCAAGCGAAUCCAGAAGGGUUCUAACCUAAUCUUAACCACCUAACUAACGUAGAGAUUACCCUAAUCUAAUCCAUCCUCAAGAACCCUAAUCACUACUCAAGCAACAUUCUCAAGAACACAAACCCAAAAUUUA